AUGCUUUGGCAGCACAUAUACUAACAUUAGAACAAUACAGAGAAGAUAGCAUGGCCCCUGUGCAAGGAUGACAUGCAAAUUUGUGAAGCGUUCCAUAUUUUA
rnacentral:snRNA from 1 species